CCAGCAGCCGCGGUAAUUCCAGCUCCAAUAGCGUAUAUUAAAGUUGUUGCAGUUAAAAAGCUCGUAGUUGGAUCUGGGGUUCGGGUCGGUGGUUUGCCGCUCUGCGGCUACUGCCGUGCUCGACUCUUACUAGCCGGUGCGUCUCUUGGUGCUCUUCAUUGAGUGCCACGAGAGCCUGGCAUGUUUACUUUGAAAAAAUUAGAGUGCUCAAAGCAGGCGCUUGCGCCUGAAUAGUGUUGCAUGGAAUAAUGGAAUAGGACCUCGGUUCUAUUUUGUUGGUUUUCGGAACUUGAGGUAAUGAUUAAGAGGGACGGUCGGGGGCAUUCGUAUUUCGGUGUUAGAGGUGAAAUUCUUGGAUCGCUGAAAGACGGACAAAUGCGAAAGCAUCUGCCAAGAACGUCUCCAUUAAUCAAGAACGAAAGUCAGAGGUUCGAAGACGAUCAGACACCGUCCUAGUUCUGACCAUAAACGAUGCCAACUAGCGAUCCGCAGUGGUUGCUAUAAACGGACUCUGCGAGCAGCUUCCGGGAAACCAAAGUGUUUGGGUUCCGGGGGAAGUAUGGUUGCAAAGCUGAAACUUAAAGGAAUUGACGGAAGGGCACCACCAGGAGUGGAGCCUGCGGCUUAAUUUGACUCAACACGGGGAAACUCACCCGGUCCGGACACCGUAAGGAUUGACAGAUCGAGAGCUCUUUCUUGAUUCGGUGGAUGGUGGUGCAUGGCCGUUCUUAGUUGGUGGAGUGAUUUGUCUGGUUAAUUCCGAUAACGAACGAGACUCUAGCCUGCUAACUAGUUGCGCCGUGUUCAUUCGCGGCUGUAGACUUCUUAGAGGGACAGAUGGCGUUUAGCCAUACGAAAUUGAGCAAUAACAGGUCUGUGAUGCCCUUAGAUGUCCGGGGCCGCACGCGCGCUACACUGAAGGAGUCAGCGUGUGCUAUCCGUGCUCGGAAGAGCUCGGUAACCCGUUGAAACUCCUUCGUGCUUGGGAUUGUGGCUUGUAAUUAUCGCGCAUGAACGAGGAAUUCCCAGUAAGUGCAAGUCAUCAGCUUGCGCUGACUACGUCCCUGCCCUUUGUACACACCGCCCGUCGCUACUACCGAUUGAAUGGUUUAGCAAGGUACUCAGAUUGGUCUCGAUCUUGCACGCAAGUGUGAGAUCGACGGUCGAGAAGAAGGCCAAACUUGAUCAUUUAGAGGAAGUAAAAGUCGUAACAAGG
rnacentral:rRNA from 1 species